UACAGAGGUCCCGAGCGUUGUUCGGAAUCACUGGGCGUAAAGGGCGCGUAGGUGGCCGAGCAAGGUCGCGGUGAAAGCCCGGGGCUCAACCCCGGGUCGGCCGUGGCAACUACUUGGCUUGAGCACUGUAGGGGCGGGUGGAAUUCCGGGUGUAGCGGUGGAAUGCGUAGAGAUCCGGAAGAACACCGGUGGCGAAGGCGGCCCGCUGGGCAGGAAGGCUCGCAAGAGCCGGCUGACACUGAGGCGCGACAGCGUGGGGAGCAAACAGG
rnacentral:rRNA from 1 species